rnacentral:lncRNA from 1 species
CUCCAGAGCAGCCUCUCAGUUCAAACAUGUUACCCUGGCAGCAAAGAAGCUGUCUUGUUCAAAAGGAGGAGUCUGCAGGAGGACAGAAGUCAGCAAGAGAGUGUGAGAUUUAAAAUGGUUGAGGUCUUAAACUGUAAUGAUUAAAAUAGUGGAAGAUAUAAAUUGUGAUAGAUAUAAGAGAGGGUGA